ensembl:lncRNA
CCCAGAUGGAGAGCUAAGUGGCGCUGGCCUCACCACUCCUGGGUACCCAGUCCAGAGUUGACUGUCCCGUGAAAUGUCCUUGUUGCGAGGAUGUGCUCCAGCUGUCUAUUUCUGGGGUCAUAGUGGUCCUGACAGGGACUUUGUGAAUGUCUGGGCCCCAAGCCGCCUGGAGGGGAAAUCUGAGGGCCCUGGGGCUGGAGUAGAGCCCUUGGGGAACCUACAAGAGGGGCUGAUCCCGCUCUGUGAAGGGAGAUUGAGGGACGGGGGAGUCGGAAUUGCUUCCCCCUGAAUCCGUAGUACUACAACUGUCCACUAGGUGGGGUUCCAGGGCAGAGAGUGAGAAUAGGGAUGACCCAGCGCUAGUAGCAAGAGACCAGCUUUUAAAUCUCCGCCCGCCACAGCAACCUCGGAAGCGCUCACACAGGGAGGGACAGCACAUAUGCUCGCACCUUAGACGCUCACACACAUUUUCUUCUAGUGAACUCUAAAAUAGAACUCACAUUGGGUGCAGGGGAGGUGUUAAAAGGGGAGUCUAGUUUCGUUUACACGCGCACUAUCCUAAACUGAAGGUGGGAUGUCAAGUCUUCUGCUCCGGGAGUGCGAGAGUGAACGACAGAGACAGGGGGCUGGGGGAACAGGACGCACGGGAGAGGGAGAGCCAGGCACUGGCGAGACGAUGUCGGGGUUGGCAUGCACAGCUCCAUGUAUCACAGACACGCAGGAGGAAAGGCCAGAUGACAGACGGAUGCACCAUGCACAGACACACAUACAGCUCCAGAGAGAACACACAAACCCGCAGACACAUCACACAGCUCCACAGACGUCGGGCCGACCCAGGGACACACACGCGCGCACACACAGGUGCGGCCCCGGGCCACACGCACACCUCGCACAGGCACGCGCGCCGGCCCUCUGCGGCCGGCUGGGAGAAGGUGGCCGCGCUCACCGGGCAUGUUUAUUUACUCAUUUGUAUCAAUGAACGUUUGUACCCGACUCCUCCCGCCUCCGGGUGCCAGGGCCGCCGCGUUUGUCCUCGGCGCGGGACACUCACCGGGACCAGCAUCGGGGUUCCUCGGACGCUGCAGGGGGAGGAGGGGACUACAAAGUUAGGGGGUCUCGAGGUGUCCGAGAGGAGGGGCUGCAGGGUCAUUGGUCGGGGACGCGGAAGGGGAGAGGGGAACAUCGGGGUCUUGUGGGGUAAGAGACAUUUGGAGAGGAGGAGAGACCUUGCAUCCAAGGUUUAGGGAUGUACGGAUCAGGGAUGGGGGAUCCCAGCCAGGGGGAAUUGGGAGUGGCAAAUGGGAGGGUUGAGGGGUCCCAGGAGACAGGAGCCGGCGAGAUUCCGCGGGAUAAGAGCUCAGGACCCUAAGCACAGGUUCAGGGGCUUUUGGCACCCCUCAAUAGAAGGGCAGUCCAGCCAAGACCUCAGCCGCUGGGGCGACGGCCCACGCGGGACUGCCUGGAGCGGGAGGAGGGGGCCGGGACCCGGGAGGGAGGAAAAGAGGGAGGGAAGUAGCCUAGCAGCCAAGCGGGCACCGUGCGAGAGCGCACCGUAUGUGUGUGCGUGCGUGUGUGUGUGUGUGUGUGUGUGUGUCUCAUCUCGUCCGUCUGUAGGUGCCGGGCUCAGCGAGACGCCGGCGAGAAGGAAGAGGAGGCGAGAGGUGAACUGAGUUUGAUCCUGCGGCGGCUACAACAGCAACUCCAGAGCCGAGAGACUGCGUCCCGGGACGGACUGCCUUUUCUUAAUUGAUACAAUAGCCCAGCUCGGGUUUUCACCUCCUCCCCCAACUCCACCCCGCCUCACCCCUCCCGCCCGCCGCCGCAGCCGCCGCCGCCGCCGCCCCAGCGCCCGCCCGGGGCUCUGUCGCCGGCCGCGUCCCGUCCCGGCCGCGCUCCGCCGGCUCCGCACCCGCGCGCCCGCCGCCGCGCCCGCCGCGC